GGGGCUGUAGCUCAGUGGUGGAGUGCUUGCCUAGCAUGCAUGAGGCACUGGGUUCUAUCUUCAGCACCA
rnacentral:tRNA from 1 species